rnacentral:rRNA from 1 species
GACGAACGCUGGCGGCGUGCUUAACACAUGCAAGUCGAACGGAAAGGCCCUGCUUUUGUGGGGUGCUCGAGUGGCGAACGGGUGAGUAACACGUGAGCAACCUGCCCUUGACUUUGGGAUAACUUCAGGAAACUGGGGCUAAUACCGGAUAGGAGCUCCUGCUGCAUGGUGGGGGUUGGAAAGUUUCGGCGGUUGGGGAUGGACUCGCGGCUUAUCAGCUUGUUGGUGGGGUAGUGGCUUACCAAGGCUUUGACGGGUAGCCGGCCUGAGAGGGUGACCGGCCACAUUGGGACUGAGAUACGGCCCAGACUCCUACGGGAGGCAGCAGUGGGGAAUAUUGCACAAUGGGCGGAAGCCUGAUGCAGCAACGCCGCGUGCGGGAUGACGGCCUUCGGGUUGUAAACCGCUUUCGCCUGUGACGAAGCGUGAGUGACGGUAAUGGGUAAAGAAGCACCGGCUAACUACGUGCCAGCAGCCGCGGUGAUACGUAGGGUGCGAGCGUUGUCCGGAUUUAUUGGGCGUAAAGGGCUCGUAGGUGGUUGAUCGCGUCGGAAGUGUAAUCUUGGGGCUUAACCCUGAGCGUGCUUUCGAUACGGGUUGACUUGAAGAAGGUAGGGGAGAAUGGAAUUCCUGGUGGAGCGGUGGAAUGCGCAGAUAUCAGGAGGAACACCAGUGGCGAAGGCGGUUCUCUGGGCCUUUCCUGACGCUGAGGAGCGAAAGCGUGGGGAGCGAACAGGCUUAGAUACCCUGGUAGUCCACGCUGUAAACGGUGGGUACUAGGUGUGGGGUCCAUUCCACGGGUUCCGUGCCGUAGCUAACGCUUUAAGUACCCCGCCUGGGGAGUACGGCCGCAAGGCUAAAACUCAAAGGAAUUGACGAGGCCCCGCACAAGCGGCGGAGCAUGCGGAUUAAUUCGAUGCAACGCGUAGAACCUUACCUGGGUUUGACAUGGAUCGGGAGCGCUCAGAGAUGGGUGUGCCUCUUUUGGGGUCGGUUCACAGGUGGUGCAUGGCUGUCGUCAGCUCGUGUCGUGAGAUGUUGGGUUAAGUCCCGCAACGAGCGCAACCCUUGUUCACUGUUGCCAGCACGUUAUGGUGGGGACUCAGUGGAGACCGCCGGGGUCAACUCGGAGGAAGGUGGGGAUGACGUCAAGUCAUCAUGCCCCUUAUGUCCAGGGCUUCACGCAUGCUACAAUGGCUGGUACAGAGAGUGGCGAGCCUGUGAGGGUGAGCGAAUCUCGGAAAGCCGGUCUCAGUUCGGAUUGGGGUCUGCAACUCGACCUCAUGAAGUCGGAGUCGCUAGUAAUCGCAGAUCAGCAACGCUGCGGUGAAUACGUUCCCGGGGCU